GCCUGGGUGGCUCAGUAGGUUAAGCAUCUGACUUCGGCUCAGGUCAUGAUCUUGCAGUUUGUGAGUUCGAGCCCCAUUUCGGGCU
rnacentral:tRNA from 1 species